rnacentral:misc_RNA from 1 species
AACCUUAUGGACCUGCGGGCGUAUACCUGCGGAGGGAUCAUUACCGAGUUUACAACUCCCAAACCCCUGUGAACAUACCUAUACGUUGCCUCGGCGGAUCAGCCCGCGCCCUGUAAAAAGGGACGGCCCGCCCGAGGACCCUAAACUCUGUUUUUAGUGGAACUUCUGAGUAAAACAAACAAAUAAAUCAAAACUUUCAGCAAUGGAUCU